GUUCAAUAAGUUACUCUCUUUGUCUCUUUGCUAGGUUAUAAAAGCCUUCAAUAAGAUACAAUACCAGUACAGUGUUCUAUCCUUCCCUUGUGUCUCAGAGAUCUCACAAUGGGUUCAAUAAGUUACUCUCUUUGUCUCUUUGCUAGGUUAUAAAAGCCUUCAAUAAGAUACAAUACCAAUACAGUGUUCUAUCCUUCCCUUGUGUCUCAGAGAUCUCACAAUGGGUUCAGAAAGUUAACCUCUCCAUCUCUUUGCCUGGUUUAUAAAAGCCUUCAAUAAGAUACAGUAAUACCAAUACAGUGUUCUAUCCUUCCCUUGUGUCUCAGAGGUCUCACAAUGGGUUCAGUAAGUUACCCUCUCCAUCUCUUUGCCUGGUAUAUAAAAGCCUU